AUUGAACGCUGGCGGCAGGCCUAACACAUGCAAGUCGAGCGGGGUUUUCGGACCUAGCGGCGGACGGGUGAGUAAUGCGUAGGAAGCUGCCCGAUAGAGGGGGAUACCAGUUGGAAACGACUGUUAGUACCGCAUAAUGUCUACGGACCAAAGUGUGGGACCUUCGGGCCACAUGCUAUCGGAUGCGCCUACGUGGGAUUAGCUAGUUGGUGAGGUAAUGGCUCACCAAGGCGACGAUCUCUAGCUGGUUUGAGAGGAUGAUCAGCCACACUGGAACUGAGACACGGUCCAGACUCCUACGGGAGGCAGCAGUGGGGAAUAUUGGACAAUGGGCGCAAGCCUGAUCCAGCCAUGCCGCGUGUGUGAAGAAGGCCUUCGGGUUGUAAAGCACUUUCAGCGAGGAGGAAGGGGUGUGUGUUAAUAGUACACACCUUUGACGUUACUCGCAGAAGAAGCACCGGCCAACUCUGUGCCAGCAGCCGCGGUAAGAC
rnacentral:rRNA from 1 species